ensembl:lncRNA
CGGCCGAGGGACGGCGCCCUCCGUGCGGCGCUCUGAGCGGCGCGUGCCGUACCGGCCCCGAGCGGGGGGCGCAGAGCCCUCCGAGCGCACACCUCCGUCCCACGGCCCGACGCCACAUCCGACCCGACCUUCACCGCCCGGGAUGGGGAUGGGGACCCCGCGGCGCGUCCCACCCCCGCCGCGCGAAGGGACCCUCCGUGCCCGCGAGCUGCCCGCGGAGAGGGGCCGCGCUCCGGGGGCUGCGGUGUACGGGAGCCCCCCCGGAGCCUCGGCGGGUGGGUGAACCUCGGGGACCGCGCGCCCUUAACGCUCCACUCGCUGUUUUUUUUUUUUUUUUUUUUUUUUUUUUCUGAGCUGGAAACGAUUAAAAAGCGAAAGCGAAGGAGGGGAGCGGGUCUGCCGGCAGGGUGUGCUGCCGCCCCAGCGAAGGGACGCGCGAGAAAAUCCCCGGAGCUGCCCCGGAGCAGCCUCACGCGAGCUCGGCUGCAGCUCCACGCCCGCGUCGCGCUCCCCGAACGCCGCGCUCGAAGCUCACCGCCCCGCGCCGCGUCCCCCGGCUGCGCAGCGUCCCGUGGCCACCGGAGCCUGGCGAGAAGCCGUGCCAAAGCCCUCUGCCCUCAGGAAGAGCCUCCCACCACCGGGCUUUAAGCUCCCAGCCAUCCCGAGCCAUUCCACGAUCCUAAGAAAGUUCCACACUACUGGGGGCUGCAGCAGCGGUGAGGCUGGGUGUUCAUCAGUAGGGCCCUCCCACUCCCAUCAAUGUCCUUCUCUGUCGCCGAGCCACUUGUCCGAGUCCCCUGGAGAGCAACAUCACCUCCCUGGCAGUAACAGAGCAAACUAUGAGGAUUCCCACCGCCAGCAACAUCAGGAGCCGAAGGCCCUCCUUGACGAGGCCACUCAGCCACCCCGCGACCUUGAGCUAAUAACAGAAUAUCUAUGGCAGUGCGAUUCUGUAGCAAGGCAUGCCGUAAGCUGUUCUGAUCGAGCAGAAGCUGUUUGAGAAAGGAGAGUGCAACCCUUGCAGCAAGCGAGAAAAGCUCCGUGGGAUCCUCACAUUCAGGGGUUAGCAGAGCACGCUUCAUGCGGUCAGAGCGGUUAGAGAGUAAUGUUUCAAAGCUGCUCAAAGGUAGGAGCAAACAGAGUUGAUUUUCCUAAGGAACGGGGUCCACCUGUCUCCUGGCUGGGGAUGCCCUGCCACGCUCUGUCUCCACAGACCAAAAAGAUGUCCAGAGGCAAUGCCUUCGCAGAGCCAUUGCACCAUAUAGUCGAGUUGUUACCAUUUGCAGCUGCGCCAUAGGCACCCAAACCUGUCUUCUUGAUGUAUUGGUGCCACAGUAAUCACCAGCAUCCCGUAAGUAAAUUUGCCACGGCUAGAUACAGUAGUGCAAGAGGUCCAAUUCAGCCCUUUAUAAGGAUUUAGGCCCUGCUGGGUAUUACUGAAUACAAAGCAGGUCUGGGUCCAAUUCUGUGACGUGUUUCCUAUCGCCUGCGACCCCAUAAGUUACGGUUCCUGGGGAUCCCAAGGCAGCGAGACAUUUCAUCCAGCAAUCAGUUCAGUGGAGCAUCCCAGUCUGCGUAGAAGCCGCUGUAGAGCCGGGGCAGAGAGCUGUUGGCAUCGAUGAGGCGCAGCGGGGUCUGCUGAGGCCCCCCCCCCCAGCAGGCUGCCCCACGCCAGCUUCUGCAGCUCGAUGGGCAUCACGGUGUAGGGCAGUGCUUCUCAGUGUAGCCCUGGAAGCCCUGCACUGCCAUGGAGAGCACCGGGUGGAGGCGGCUCGGGCCAGGGGAGGCUGCGGGUGGCCGUACAGCGGGGGCUCGUAUGGCCUUCAAGGUGUUGGCAGCAGCACGCCACACCGGUCCCAGAGGCUUCAGCAACUCCUCGUCCUUCCCCC